rnacentral:rRNA from 1 species
UAGGGAAUCUUCCGCAAUGGGCGAAAGCCUGACGGAGCAACGCCGCGUGAGUGAAGAAGGAUUUCGGUUCGUAAAGCUCUGUUGUUAGGGAAGAAUGAUUGUGUAGUAACUAUACACAGUAGAGACGGUACCUAACCAGAAAGCCACGGCUAACUACGUGCCAGCAGCCGCGGUAAUACGUAGGUGGCAAGCGUUGUCCGGAAUUAUCGGGCGUAAAGCGCGCGCAGGUGGUUUAAUAAGUCUGAUGUGAAAGCCCACGGCUCAACCGUGGAGGGUCAUUGGAACCUGUUAAACUUGAGUGCAGGAGAGAAAAGUGGAAUUCCUAGUGUAGCGGUGAAAUGCGUAGAGAUUAGGAGGAACACCAGUGGCGAAGGCGGCUUUUUGGCCUGUAACUGACACUGAGGCGCGAAAGCGUGGGGAGCAAACAGGAUUAGAUACCCUGGUAGUCCACGCCGUAAACGAUGAGUGCUAAGUGUUGGUCUCAUAAGAGAUCAGUGCUGCAGCUAACGCAUUAAGCACUCCGCCUGGGGAGUACGACCGCAAGGUUG